AAACAUACCAAACGAAAAAAAUGCAUUAAUAGUAAAAACACUCGAAAACAAUAAACAAUAAAUUUAAGUAUUAAAAACAUGAUAUGGUGGACUGUCUUCACCUUCCUACAAGAACCAUUUAGAUUCCAUAUCUUGCAAGGAAAACUAAAGGGGGAUGCUUAGAGAAAGUGUGCAUAAAUUUACAAUGUUCCAAAGGUCAAUCCAUUAUUUACAUAUGACUCUGUCAAGUCUAAUAGCAAUACGAGUAACCCUUCCCACCAUUGGUUUGAUUGUAGAAGCUACUACACUGGUGUCUAAAUAAAAUAGAUCAUUAUAGUUGGCUCAACUGAUAGAUUCAUCACAUGAUGUUUUAAUAGGCGGACAUCGACCAAAUUACUCAUGAGCUCUCAAGACAAAAUUAAAUUCUCCAAUAAUGCACCAAGGGUUGAGGCUACCUUUUUGUAAUGUAUUCUAUUUUAACAAAAGUUUAUUUCUCUCCAUAUGCAAAGUUUUGACAUAAACUGCAGCUAUGUGACAUAUUUUUCCCUCUUACAAGAGAGAAUGUAAUAUGUUGCUCUAAUAGGAAUAAUACAUCAGUUUCUUGAUCAGAAUUGUAGAAACCCCAAAGAUUAGAAGCAUGAUUAUGUCUGAAAUCGAGAGAAAGUAUCUUGAGAUUUAAUGACCUUAAGCGGUAGGAAAAUGUGCAAAAUGUAUCAUUGGUUUAAUUAUGAUUAGUAUGGCAGGCUUGUGGGAUAAGCAAAGAUUUUUUAAGACCAAAUUUAUAUCAACGUUACCAGUUCCCUUGAAUUCUGGUACUCUCAAAAACGAAUAUAUAAAAAAGUUCCUUUAUCUAUAUAACAUAUAUAAUAACGAAUAUCAGUUAGAAGUCUCAACUGAUAUUAGGUAAGAAACACAAACACACUGUAUCAUAUAAAUAUUGUAAAUGGUAAGCAACAUAUAUGUAUAGUCCAGCAUGCAUUCAUCACACUAGCUUAAGUGUCAAAUUUCUCAUUCUUUGUAACAACUCAUAAUGACAAAUCCAUCAUGCAGCGGGUGCUAGAUCGAUACCACCGUCAUCGUCAUCGUCAUCAUCGUCGCCUUCAUUUUCGGGGUGAAAUCGAGUUGCCACCCAGUCAUUGCACAUGUGAAAGUGAGGCAAAGCAGGUUUUAUGCAAGUUAAAACUGCCAUUCUAGUGUUUGUUGGACUAAUACAAAUUACACUAGUUGUGAACUGCUUUGGUUGACCGUGUCUCCAAACACUUAUUUAUACCAAUAAAAUAUUCCUUUUCAAUAUUACAAAGUUAUAUUCUAUGAAAUUGUAGGUUUUUU
rnacentral:lncRNA from 1 species